AGCAGCCGCGGUAAUUCCAGCUCCAAUAGCGUAUAUUAAAGUUGUUGCAGUUAAAAGCUCGUAGUUGAAUUUCGGGGUCAGUAGGAUGGUCGUGCCAAUGGUAUGUACUGGCUUUACUGAUUCCUCCUUCUUGAAGAACUGUAAUGCCAUUAAUUUGGUGUUGCAGGGAAUCAGGACUGUUACUUUGAAAAAUUAGAGUGUUUAAAGCAGGCUUACGCUUGAAUACAUUAGCAUGGAAUAAUGAAAUAGGAUGUUGAUCUUAUUUUGUUGGUUUCUAGGAUUGACGUAAUGAUUAAUAGGGAUAGUUGGGGGCAUUAGUAUUCAAUUGUCAGAGGUGAAAUUCUUGGAUUUAUUGAAGACUAACUACUGCGAAAGCAUUUGCCAAGGAUGUUUUCAUUAAUCAAGAACGAAAGUUAGGGGAUCGAAGACGAUCAGAUACCGUCGUAGUCUUAACCAUAAACUAUGCCGACUAGGGAUCGGAUGAUGUUAAUUUUUAAUGA
rnacentral:rRNA from 1 species